AUUGAACGCUGGCGGCAGGCCUAACACAUGCAAGUCGAGCGGAUGAAGGGAGCUUGCUCCUGGAUUCAGCGGCGGACGGGUGAGUAAUGCCUAGGAAUCUGCCUGGUAGUGGGGGAUAACGUCCGGAAACGGGCGCUAAUACCGCAUACGUCCUGAGGGAGAAAGUGGGGGAUCUUCGGACCUCACGCUAUCAGAUGAGCCUAGGUCGGAUUAGCUGGUUGGUGGGGUAAAGGCCUACCAAGGCGACGAUCCGUAACUGGUCUGAGAGGAUGAUCAGUCACACUGGAACUGAGACACGGUCCAGACUCCUACGGGAGGCAGCAGUGGGGAAUAUUGGACAGUGGGCGAAAGCCUGAUCCAGCCAUGCCGCGUGUGUGAAGAAGGUCUUCGGAUUGUAAGCACUUUAAGUUGGGAGGAAGGGCAGUAAGUUAAUACCUUGCUGUUUUGACGUUACCAACAGAAUAAGCACCGGCUAACUUCGUG
rnacentral:rRNA from 1 species